rnacentral:rRNA from 1 species
GACGAACGCGGGCGGCGUGCCUAAUACAUGCAAGUAGAACGCUGAAGGAGGAGCUUGCUUCUCCGGAUGAGUUGCGAACGGGUGAGUAACGCGUAGGUAACCUGCCUGGUAGCGGGGGAUAACUAUUGGAAACGAUAGCUAAUACCGCAUAAAAUUGAUUAUUGCAUGAUAGUCAAUUAAAAGGUGCAAAUGCAUCACUACCAGAUGGACCUGCGUUGUAUUAGCUAGUUGGUGAGGUAACGGCUCACCAAGGCAACGAUACAUAGCCGACCUGAGAGGGUGAUCGGCCACACUGGGACUGAGACACGGCCCAGACUCCUACGGGAGGCAGCAGUAGGGAAUCUUCGGCAAUGGACGGAAGUCUGACCGAGCAACGCCGCGUGAGUGAAGAAGGUUUUCGGAUCGUAAAGCUCUGUUGUAAGAGAAGAACGAGUGUGAGAGUGGAAAGUUCACACUGUGACGUAUCUACCAGAAAGGACGCA